CGGAAAGUGGCGCAGUUUGGUAGCGCGCCUGUUUUGGGAGCAGGAUGUCGGAGGUUCAAAUCCUCUCUUUCCGACCA
rnacentral:tRNA from 1 species